rnacentral:rRNA from 1 species
CAGUAAGGAACCUUGCCAGCACAUUUUAAGGGCACUCAGCAGUGAAAACAUUAAGCCUGAGUGAAAAUUUGACUAGUUAAGGUUGAGCGGGCCGGUUAAUUUCGUGCCAGCCACCGCGGUUAUACGAGAGGCCCAAGUGGAUAGACUCCGGCAUAAAGUGUGGUUAAGGAUUAAACUAACUAAAGCCGAAUACUUUCAGAGCUGUUAUACGCAAAUGAAAGAUUGAAGCCCAACCACGAAAGUGGCUUUAACAGCCCUGACGCCACGGAAGCUACGGGACAAACUGGGAUUAGAUACCCCACUAUGCGUAGCCGUAAACAUUGAUAAUACCACAUAUUUAUUAUCCGCCCGGGAACUACGAGCGAAAGCUUAAAACCCAAUGGACUUGGCGGUGCUUUAGACCCCCCUAGAGGAGCCUGUUCU